ensembl:lncRNA novel transcript
GUUUCUACUUUGUGCCUGUGACUGCCCUGGACAUUGAGAUCCAGACGUAAAGACACAAUGACUGUUCUUGAGGUCGCCUCCAAAGUGUUCAGAUGUCCAGUGCUGUUGCCAGGCAGACUUGUUACUGACACAAAUUUUCCUCCCUGAUAAGUUGAACUCUCCCCCCUCCCAACUUCAUUAUGCCUGCUGCCGGAGCUCUGCUAUAGAGGAAGCCAUGCCAGACACUGUGAUUCACGUGCCUAAAAUAUCAACUGGCCUGAGUAUGCGAGUGAGGCGAUAAAUCUGGAAAACAUAAAUCAGAUCAUCAGAUGCUGUAUCUGUUCCUGCACACAGGCUGCAGCAGCCAUGGCAAAAUGCCCUCCAACUCUGAGAGCUACACCCAGGUGGAGGUUAAAGGAUAUGACUUACAGACCAAGGAAAGCUGGGUGAGGAGGGCCAGAGCUGAUAUGCAGAAGAGGCCUUAAAACCACUGACAUUCAGCACAGACACCAGACAUGAGACUGGAUUCAGCCUCUAAGACUGCAGGGAGAGGCUGGACAAGGAAGCAUAAAGAGAGGUCCCAAAAUCUUCUAAAGUAAAGAACUUGGGCCAAUGUGUAGUCCCUGAAUCUGGACAUGAGAGAGAAGACAGGCUUCAGCUUCACUAGGAACUCUGUCAAGAUGGAAAAUAGAAUUUACAGACUCUGGUAGGUGGAGAGCCUCCUUAAAGAACACUCUAGAAAAAAACAACCAACACUGCCCUUCCUUUAGUGAACAGAGAAAAGUGCUCCCAUUGAGCCACUUAAUCAUUCCAAAGCACAGAAGAGAAGGGCCUUAUCUCUGUAGCUGAGGCUAGGCCAUCAGAUCACAGGCUUUCUUGACCUGGGCCUGGGGACAGCUGGCUUGUUCACAAAUGACAGUGCUCCUCCGGGUCUGACAUGCCAGGAUUACUAGUUCCAAAGUAGUUUUGGAACCGUAGGAAAGUAAGGAGGGUUCAUAGUUCAAAUUUCUAAACCUCAAACCCUGCUUUGUCAGGGUUAGGUCCUGCUGCAUCAAUAUGACUCUACCCAAAAAUCACAUCAGACCCUCUGGGGCUUUGUGCCUGGGGAUGCGGGAGAAUGACUGGGAGUAGACAGGAAACAGACAUAGGAUGAGGUGGAGCUGGGAGCAGCAUUGGAUAUCCAUUUAAGGAAGUUAAGCAGCGAUCCAGGUUCCACCCCAAAAUGUCCAAGAGUUACACCCUAGGGAGCAAAGGAAGACCCAUGAGUGGAUUGAAAGGCUCCACCUGACAUCAUGGUAUCAGAUGAAUAUGGCCAGUGCACCUGUCUCCAGGCAUCAGCCAGUGAGAACAUCUCAAUGCACCACAAGGUGAAAUGCUGAGAAAUUCAUUGUAGCUUAUCUCUUUUGCUACUAUGACCUGUCAGCAAAAACAAUGGAAAGAUAAUUUUCCCCUUUCCCUUCCAGCAAAGGCAGCCAGGGCUUUGUGUUCCCAGACCUGGGUGCCUUGACCCCAGGCAGGGAAUUUCCAGCUAUUUGUGAAUCAGGCCCACCUGGGGGAAUUAAGGAGGCUUCCAAGAAGGGAGAGGGGUAAGGUAUAGAAGUUUUUGUUCUUUGUGAGUAACAGCAUGCCAGGGCCUGACCCUGAGGAGGUGGUUGGAUCCUGGGAACUUGGAAAACAAGAAAGGGUAAGUUUGUGGGAUUCUUCAGAUAGUCUGUCCCCUAAACUUUGUGACCCAGCCAGAUAAGAGAUGGGUGUGAAUGUUUAAUGAUCUUAGACAUUGUGGCUUUGGGAGCAGGAUUAAGUGUUCUCUUAGGGUGCCUGGGGAUGUGGAGAGGAGCCUCAAAGGCCAUCUUUGUGGUUGCCUGGAGCAGAAAUACCCAACAGAGGCAGGGACCUUCCUUUAGUGAACAGAGAAAAGUGCUUCCAUUGAGCCACCUAAUCAUUCCAACACAUGUGUCAUGUCAACACAUGACAGAGACUUCAAAGAGAAGAAACAGCCACAUGACAAGAAUGACCCAACUGAUGGACAAUAAGCUGCCGAAUGAGUUAACCUUGAUGAUCCGCCAGGUCCAAGACUUAUAAUUCUACAUGGCCUCUGUCUCCUCUUUGCAAGCUGAUCACGAUGCAGAAUGACUGACGCAGCACCCAUGAACUUCCAGAUCACAAGCAUGCUCUGUUCUCCUUCCUACCUGGGCUGGGGUGACAGUUGUACAGCUGUGCACCAUCUGAGUGCCACCAUCUAGUGAUAAGUCCAUGAGUGUGGAUACUAGGGGAAGACAUGGGUUGCAGAUUGGCCAGGUCUAAGGCGCUGACAAGAAACAUUACAAGAGCUUUAGAUUUAACUUUAAAAGCUUCUAUUCCUUUCAUUGUCAGACUGUGAAGCCCACAGCUGCACAUCAUCAGGCACCAACAUGCAGGGGGCCAUUUCCUUGUUUGCACAGGAAGCUCCUGCAUACUCUGUAUUGCUCUAGAGUCACACCACUGAGCCGGCCAAGGUCUCGACUCUGGCCCUGACACGUGGCUGGCUUUGACUUUGCUUUCUGAGUUCAGCUCAUUUCCUGGGUCAUCUCCCCAGUAAAGACAGCACUGCCUCAUCAAGGCAGGUGCUCAUCUGGUCAUGCUCAAAGUCCCUCGAUGCCCUAUGACUGGUCAGCGGUCUCAGGGGAUGAGAUGUGUGGGUGUCAGUUGGCUUCCUCGUGUCCCAGUGCUGUCCCCUUCACCUCUCUUUAUCCCACUUUCUAAUGUUCACCCUCUCUUCUCCAUUAGUAAACUCCCAAGACUUCUUUAAGGUCGACCUUAAACACCCUUCUCUGGGAUCCUUCCCAAAACCCCAGGCAGAACUCACUGCUUCUACCUCUACCCUUGGUCCGUGAUUUUAUUUCAUUGUAGAUUAUAGUUAAUUGCUU